rnacentral:rRNA from 1 species
GACGAACGCUGGCGGCGUGCUUAACACAUGCAAGUCGAGCGGAAAGGCCCUUCGGGGUACUCGAGCGGCGAACGGGUGAGUAACACGUGAGUAACCUGCCCUUCACUUUGGGAUAACCCUCGGAAACGGGGGCUAAUACCGGAUAUUCAUGUUCUGCGGCAUCGUGGGGUGUGGAAAGUUUUUCGGUGGGGGAUGGGCUCGCGGCCUAUCAGCUUGUUGGUGGGGUAAUGGCCUACCAAGGCGACGACGGGUAGCCGGCCUGAGAGGGCG